UACGGAGGGGGCGAGCGUUGUCCGAAGUUACUGGGCGUAAAGCGCGCGCAGGUGGUUUCUUAAGUCUGAUGUGAAAGCCCACGGCUCAACCGUGGAGGGUCAUUGGAAACUGGGGAACUUGAGUGCAGAAGAGGAAAGUGGAAUUCCAAGUGUAGCGGUGAAAUGCGUAGAGAUUUGGAGGAACACCAGUGGCGAAGGCGACUUUCUGGUCUGUAACUGACACUGAGGCGCGAAAGCGUGGGGAGCGAACAGG
rnacentral:rRNA from 1 species